UACGGGGGGAGCAAGCGUUGUUCGGAUUUACUGGGCGUAAAGGGCGCGUAGGCGGCGCAACAAGUCACUUGUGAAAUCUCAGAGCUUAACUCGGAACGGUCAAGUGAUACUGUCGGACUAGAGUACAGAAGGGGCAACUGGAAUUCUCGGUGUAGCGGUGAAAUGCGUAGAUAUCGAGAGGAACACCUGCGGCGAAGGCGGCGCUCUGGGCUGGAACUGACGCUGAGGAGCGAAAGCGUGGGGAGCGAACAGG
rnacentral:rRNA from 1 species